rnacentral:rRNA from 1 species
UACGUAGGGGGCAAGCGUUGUCCGGAAUCAUUGGGCGUAAAGCGCGCGUAGGCGGCCAGAUAAGUCCGGUGUGAAAGUCACAGGUUCAACCUGUGAAUGCCGCUGGAAACUGUCUGGCUUGAGUCCGGAAGGGGCGAGUGGAAUUCCUGGUGUAGCGGUGAAAUGCGCAGAUAUCAGGAGGAACACCAAUGGCGAAGGCAGCUCGCUGGAACGGUACUGACGCUGAGGAGCGAAAGCGUGGGGAGCGAACAGG